GCAUUUGUGCUGAUGAGAUCAACUCUGCCUUGGCAAGUGGCCACCAAGGCUCCCAGGAGAUGAAGUCUGAGAUGGUCACAGGAAUAGCAACCAGUGAGAGUUUUGCCAUUUGCCUUUCUGCUUAUACAGUUGGAUUGGGACAUUAUUGUCACCUAAGAAUUAAUGAUAUUUUCCCAUAAUCUUUAUGUCAACAUUUUCUUUACAAACAGAUAUAUGGAGAAUGGGACACAGGUCCCUCUUCAGAAGCCAUAUUAUAAAAAUCUUGUGUGAUGAAUCAGCGUUUUGAAGCCUUCUCCUUGCUGGUGAGCUCACUGACUACCGUUCUGCAGUACUCAGCCCUUCUCACGCCCUCUUAGUGGAACACACAGUCCUUAGCAGUGAUGAAAUGCAUAGCUCGAAGCUUGGGAGGAAAAUAAUGAGAGACUGUACCAGACAAAUUCAUGGCAGACAGAGCAGAACGUGGGUUGAGGGAAAAAGGUGGCUGUGAACUCGUGACACUUGACGUGGUGGACUUUGGCUUGUUUGAUGGCGCCUCGGCGGUGAUGCAGUGCAAAGAAUCCUUCGUUCUCAAAUUCACUCAUGUCCUUUGUGUCUGGAGAGAGAGAGUGAGAGAGCAGGAGAUUCAGUGAAACCCUGUGAUGGUCACAGCUGGGUGGUGAGGACAGCGACUUGAGGGAGAGAUAGAAGUGGUAAAUGCUAAUAGAGUGUGCACACUAACCUUUCACAGGCUUGUGAAGAUGAGACCAACACUAGGCUUCUGCUCUUAAUUUGACAUUAUAGAAUCACCAUAGGAGUUACUGCUAAAGGAUUGCAUCGUCCCCUUGUUGACUUCUCUGAGACUGAGAAUUUAAACCCAGAAUUCUGACAUUUCAAGUCUGUAAUCUCAUAAAGCAAUGUGACUGACAGUGGCAAGAAAAGGUUAGACGUCUGAUGUGGGGAUGCUUGCGUAGAGUGUUGUUUACAUGGGGAACCAAAGAUCGAACGGAGAUGCCUAGCCCUUUGCGUGAUGGCUAAGAACUUUGGGGAGAAGUUUAAUGUUCGAGUUCCUGAUGACUACAGUUUUGAGAUGUAGUUUUGAGCCUCUGCUGUAGAAAGUGCUAGACAUUAAUAGUUCAAAGUUAGGUUUUAGAGAUGUCUAGGUAAUCCUGUGUCAUCUAUAUCAAACUGUCAAAUUUAAAAGUAUUCCAUCAGUCUUGGGCCUGGGGAUAGUCAUUCCCCAUAGUCUCUUAUGCUCAGAUGACAUUUUCCCAAAGGCUUGAAGGAACCUAAGUUGAUAGCAUCCUGAGAAUACCUACGACGCCAAGGCUGACACUCAAGACUCACAAGGAUCACAAAAUAAGUAGUGCAGGGAACACUUCAGCAAAUGGAGAGGCAUUAACACGGUACACAGCAAAGAAACAAUGGAAACUAUGAGCUAACACUGAAGCAAGGAUAAUAAAUUUAAUGAUUAUAA